UGAACUUAGCUUGCUAAGUUUGAUGGCGACCGGCGCACGGGUGAGUAACGCGUAUCCAACCUUCCGUACACUCAGGGAUAGCCUUUCGAAAGAAAGAUUAAUACCUGAUGGUAUGAUGAGAUUGCAUGAUAGCAUCAUUAAAGAUUUAUUGGUAAACGAUGGGGAUGCGUUCCAUUAGGUAGUAGGCGGGGUAACGGCCCACCUAGCCUGCGAUGGAUAGGGGUUCUGAGAGGAAGGUCCCCACAUUGGAACUGAGACACGGCCCAGACUCC
rnacentral:rRNA from 1 species